rnacentral:misc_RNA from 1 species
GAUGAAGAACGUAGCGAAAUGCGAUAAGUAAUGUGAAUUGCAGAAUUCAGUGAAUCAUCGAAUCUUUGAACGCACAUUGCGCCCCUUGGUAUUCCGAGGGGCAUGCCUGUUCGAGCGUCAUUACACCACUCAAGCUAUGCUUGGUAUUGGGCGUCGUCCUUAGUUGGCCGCGCCUUAAAGACCUCGGCGAGGCCACUCCGGCUUUAGGCGUAGUAGAAUUUAUUCGAACGUCUGUCAAAGGAGAGGAACUCUGCCGACUGAAACCUUUAUUUUUCUAGGUUGACCUCGGAUCAGGUAGGGAUACCCGCUGAACUUAAGCAUAUCAAUAAGCGGAGGA